CUCCCACUACACUGAGAAUCAAAGUGAUGAUGAACAUGGACUAAAAUUGCGAUGUGUGCUUUGGAGUACUUCAGAUGGUUCUGGUUUCACUAAUGUCUAUCUGCUUAUGGUUAUUUUUGCAUCCGUGUUGUAAUAUGAAGGAAAAUAUCAGAAUUUUUCACUGAGGACAACACUGAUAUUCAAAAGAAAAACUUGUUUGCUUUCCUUGGAUCAACCUUAAUUCCACUAUGUAUCCCAUACAUUCUUCAGACCCAGCAACAUCCUCUUUUCGGUGCCCAAAUCAUGGCUGUACCACUAUGCCAGCUCUGACCUUGAAGUUCAUAUGAAUUCCCGCUUCCAGGUCCCCGCUUCAGCUCCUGUCCUUGCUUUCAGAGAUGGAGUGUGUGACCUGAGAGUCAUAAACUCAAAUCAACCCCUUAUGCUGUCUCAUUUCAUCAAUGGAAUUUAUCUGGUCAAGGCUUCACACAAGCGGAGAGGAAGGGCAGGUAUCAUGAGCUGACAAGUUGGCUUUAGUGGCUAAUGGAGUCUGCCAGCAAGCCAGAAAACCUCAGUUUGAUCUGCUUGAUGAACACAAAGAAGUGACUCUCACAUGUUGUCCUCUGAUGUAUGCUUGCUUACACGUUUAUCUACACACAUAACAUAAUA